CCAACGGUGACAGACCCUGAGGGGGGGAGACCGCCGUGAGAGCAACCCGACCCGGCCUGGCCCUUUGCUCCCGCCCCGCCCCGGCCCCACCGCGGGGCGAGGCCGCACCUGGAGAGGCGAAUCCGGUCCCGCACCGGGAGAUUAGGAGAUGAAGCCAGAAAAUACCCACACUGGCCUUGGUGUGAGGCGACAGACCCUCUCCACCAGUGCACGCGUGCAUAAUUGACGCAAACUCUUUGAAGACAGUUUGGCAACAUCUGAUGGCAGCCUCUGUUGGACCCAAAACUACUACUGCAAGGAUCUCAAAUUGUCAAAAAGAGUGAGACAAGAGCACGGAAAACAAUGCUUCCCGCUCUGGCAGCCAUCUUGUGACUUUGAGAAAAGAUCAAAAGGAUUGUUGGGGGACACAUGUAAUACCUUAAUCAGUAAAGAAAUUAAAGAUUGGGGGGAAAAAAAAGGUCAAAA